AUACGUAGGUGGCGAGCGUUGUCCGGAUUUAUUGGGUUUAAAGGGUGCGCAGGCGGGGGAUUAGGUCGGCGGUGAAAUAUCAGGGCUCAACCUUGAGAGUGCCGUCGAAGCCGGUUUUCUUGAGUGCGGAUGAAGUAGGCGGAAUUUGUGGUGUAGCGGUGAAAUGCGUAGAUAUCACAAGGAACACCGAUUGCGGAGGCAGCUUACUAAACCGCAACUGACGCUCAUGCACGAAGGCGUGGGGAUCAAACAGGAUUAGAUACCCUGGUAGUCCACGCAGUAAACGAUGAUUACUGGCUGUUUGCGAUACAAUGUAAGCGGCUGAGCGAAAGCGUUAAGUAAUCCACCUGGGGAGUACGUUCGCAAGAAUGAA
rnacentral:rRNA from 1 species